CGAACGCUGGCGGCAGGCUUAACACAUGCAAGUCGAACGCUCACUUCGGUGAGAGUGGCAGACGGGUGAGUAACGCGUGGGAAUAUACCUAUCAGUACGGAACAACAGUUGGAAACGACUGCUAAUACCGUAUACGCCCUUCGGGGGAAAGAUUCAUCGCUGAUAGAUUAGCCCGCGUUAGAUUAGCUAGAUGGUGGGGUAAUGGCCUACCAUGGCGACGAUCUAUAGCUGGUCUGAGAGGAUGAUCAGCCACAUUGGGACUGAGACACGGCCCAAACUCCUACGGGAGGCAGCAGUGGGGAAUAUUGGACAAUGGGCGCAAGCCUGAUCCAGCCAUGCCGCGUGUGUGAUGAAGGCCUUAGGGUUGUAAAGCACUUUCAACGGUGAAGAUAAUGACGGUAACCGUAGAAGAAGCCCCGGCUAACUUCGUGCCAGCAGCCGCGGUAAU
rnacentral:rRNA from 1 species